rnacentral:lncRNA from 1 species
GAAGCACAUUCUGACAUCUGUCAGUUACCUGCCAAGAGCGGAUCUUCACGGGGUUUCCCAGUGUUGUAAUCAGUGUGGGCUUGGAGGUAUGCGGGACAUGGUGAACUGUGAGCUGGUUGACCCAGUACUCAUAGAGUGUUGUACGGUACUGGCCCUGGAGAGAUGUAAAGCAUAAGGCCACCACACUGGGCACACAGCAUUCUCCUCCCCUCUUGCUACAACCCUGCAUGCAGAAGUCAGACCUCAGAUGAGGAGCCAGGCGUUAUGGACACCUCAGACCUGCUUGGAUCCUACAAACCUCGGACCCUUGACUAUGAAAUGAGUCAUGCCUGCAAUGUCUUCCCAAAGGAUGGCUCUGAUGAUGAAAUGGGGGCACACGAUGAAGCAUUUUAGAGCAUUGUCUAGCCUGGGCGCACAUGUGUGAGCCUUUAUCUACUUCCAAUUGGGGUUCUGCUGGCUCGAGUGCACAGCUGUGUGCCUGCUCAGUACCUGUAUGCUACAGUGAGGGAAGGAAGGAGAGCCUCUCCACAGUUGCCCUCGCAGAGGUCAUGGCUUUCAGGAACCUUCACCGGACAGUAUCCUGGGCCCUGAGAGCUGCUGCUUGGUCCUUCUUUAUUACACUCCUCCAUGCUGUUCUUCAGAGAGGCGUCCCAGCCAGAGCUCCUAGGAAAAGUCAGUAUCGUUUACACUCGGACAGCCUCUGAAUCAGCCCAGUUAACACCAUGAUUCACAGAUGGGUUAACCUGCCUCUCUGCCUCAAGUCCAAGUCUUCUGUUCAUGGGGAGCACAAGAGGACAGACAAUGCCAGGAGUCCCACAGGGGACAAUGGCUCUCCUUGAGAGUCAAGGGUUGAGAGAAGGAAACUCUGUAGAUGCCUCUAAUGCAGUGCCUCCCCACCUUCCACUCUUCCCCUUCAGUUAGCCAGCAAGGCCUGCCUUCCCUGCUGUGGGAGAUGAAGGGGCAGACUCAGAGCUCACCUGUCCAGUGAAAAGUUUUCAUAGCGUCAGAACCAGGUCCAGUGCCCCAGCCCAGACCUGUCGGGCUCUCUUCUCCUCCAUGUGGGCACAAGGCCACGAUACCCAUCCCACACCUGUGCUUACCCACUCCAUCUCUCCCAUAACCCAGGAAUCAAAGGACUCUGUGAUCUUGCCAAUAGUAGGCCAAAUAUAGCCCUCCAUAGGCCCACAGAUCCUCCUAUAAGCCACAAAGUGGCAUCCACCGACCCUGACUUAGAGGGUCAGCUCAGCUCAAGGAAUGCAUACCCUCUUGUCUUCACAAAGGGAAUAGCAGGUAGCCCUGGGCCCUGGGCACAUCUACCACCUUGAGGAGAAGGGUUUGCAGGUCAUUAUUAGCAAGUCCUUCCAAAACUACUGCUGCUUUUUUCACUACCCCAAAACAUUAUCAUCAAGAGCAAUCCUUUAAGCAGGAGAAUGUUACAGUAAAUCAGAUAAGUGUGCGGGGAAUGACAGGUUUUCACUUAAGGAUGGCUCAGGAAUAAAAAGAAUGUCUGCAGUUACCUCAAUAAAAAUUUCAAUAAAAAAAAAAUCAUGAGUGCGCA